rnacentral:rRNA from 1 species
AACGCAUUAAGUGCCCCGCCUGGGGAGUACGGCCGCAAGGCUAAAACUCAAAGGAAUUGACGGGGGGCCGCACAAGCGGCGGAGCAUGCGGAUUAAUUCGAUGCAACGCGAAGAACCUUACCAAGGCUUGACAUGUGCCAGACCGCCGUGGAAACACGGUUUCCCCUUUGGGGCUGGUUCACAGGUGGUGCAUGGUUGUCGUCAGCUCGUGUCGUGAGAUGUUGGGUUAAGUCCCGCAACGAGCGCAACCCUCGUUCCAUGUUGCCAGCACGUAGUGGUGGGGACUCAUGGGAGACUGCCGGGGUCAACUCGGAGGAAGGUGGGGACGACGUCAAAUCAUCAUGCCCCUUAUGUCUUGGGCUUCACGCAUGCUACAAUGGCCGGUACAAUGGGUUGCGAUACUGUGAGGUGGAGCUAAUCCCAAAAAGCCGGUCUCAGUUCGGAUUGGGGUCUGCAACUCGACCCCAUGAAGUCGGAGUCGCUAGUAAUCGCAGAUCCAGCAACGCUGCGGUGAAUACGUUCCCGGGCCUUGUACACACCGCCCGUCAAGUCACGAAAGUUGGUAACA